CCAUUCGGCUCUACUCAUUUCACGUCUCCUUGUGCUACAAUAUUUGGGACUACAUCCUUUUUGUGAGUGGGAGAGAACCACACACGUCUCAGAAAAUAUUUUCUGAAUGUAUUCUCUCAAAAUUCUCUGUUUGUUCUUAUCUCAAACUCUCACAGUCCAAUGGCAAUCGACGAUGUCGAAUAGCUCUCGCGCCGGACCACCAUCAUCACUGGACAACUUUCAAUCCUUGGAUGAAUAGGUGCUGACAAAGUCAAUUCCAGCUUGUAAUACAUCAAAGAGAAGAUUUCUAUCUGAAGAAGUAAGUCAGCUCUGAGGUUUUCACAGGAGACAUCUCUUCAAGUUCACCCCAUUUCUCUCUCGCUCGGUCAUUAAACCACCAUCAUCACAACAUUCGAAAUGUGGCCAUUAUUGCAGGUGGAAACAUUUGGCGCAAUAGCAGAAACUGAAAAAAAUUGCUUGCAUUCUUAACAAGUUUUCUAGGAUUGCUGUCUACACACACAGAUCUCUUCAAGAAAAACCAAUCCACAAGAAAAACAAAUUCAAGAGAUUUUGGUACUGAUACUUGAAAAGAAAUGGAAAAAGCUUGAAGGUGAUAAUGUUGUGGAUGAGCCAUCUAUUGAUGUACCAUCAUUGUUUAUAACUAAACUUGUUUAUGAUUUCUUGUUUAAUUUUGAAGAUCUAAAAUAUCUGCAUCCCUAUUUUGAAGGAUUUCUAGUUCUUGACCUC